rnacentral:rRNA from 1 species
CUGCCUGUAAGACUGGGAUAACUCCGGGAAACCGGGGCUAAUACCGGAUGCUUGUUUGAACCGCAUGGUUCAAACAUAAAAGGUGGCUUCGGCUACCACUUACAGAUGGACCCGCGGCGCAUUAGCUAGUUGGUGAGGUAAUGGCUCACCAAGGCAACGAUGCGUAGCCGACCUGAGAGGGUGAUCGGCCACACUGGGACUGAGACACGGCCCAGACUCCUACGGGAGGCAGCAGUAGGGAAUCUUCCGCAAUGGACGAAAGUCUGACGGAGCAACGCCGCGUGAGUGAUGAAGGUUUUCGGAUCGUAAAGCUCUGUUGUUAGGGAAGAACAAGUACCGUUCGAAUAGGGCGGUACCUUGACGGUACCUAACCAGAAAGCCACGGCUAACUACGUGCCAGCAGCCGCGGUAAUACGUAGGUGGCAAGCGUUGUCCGGAAUUAUUGGGCGUAAAGGGCUCGCAGGCGGUUUCUUAAGUCUGAUGUGAAAGCCCCCGGCUCAACCGGGGAGGGUCAUUGGAAACUGGGGAACUUGAGUGCAGAAGAGGAGAGUGGAAUUCCACGUGUAGCGGUGAAAUGCGUAGAGAUGUGGAGGAACACCAGUGGCGAAGGCGACUCUCUGGUCUGUAACUGACGCUGAGGAGCGAAAGCGUGGGGAGCGAACAGGAUUAGAUACCCUGGUAGUCCACGCCGUAAACGAUGAGUGCUAAGUGUUAGGGGGUUUCCGCCCCUUAGUGCUGCAGCUAACGCAUUAAGCACUCCGCCUGGGG